rnacentral:rRNA from 1 species
CCUACGGGUGGCAGCAGUGAGGAAUAUUGGUCAAUGGACGAGAGUCUGAACCAGCCAAGUCGCGUGAAGGAUGACUGCCCUAUGGGUUGUAAACUUCUUUUAUAUGGGAAUAAAAUGUUCCACGUGUGGGGUUCUGUAUGUACCAUAUGAAUAAGGAUCGGCUAACUCCGUGCCAGCAGCCGCGGUAAUACGGAGGAUCCGAGCGUUAUCCGGAUUUAUUGGGUUUAAAGGGUGCGUAGGUGGAUUGUUAAGUCAGUGGUGAAAUUGUGCAGCUCAACCGUAUAAGUGCCGUGGAAACUGGUGGUCUUGAGUACAGUAGAGGUAGGCGGAAUUCGUGGUGUAGCGGUGAAAUGCUUAGAUAUCACGCAGAACUCCGAUUGCGAAGGCAGCUCACUGGCCUGCAACUGACGCUGAGGCACGAAAGUGUGGGUAGCAAACAGGAUUAGAUACCCGAGUAGUC